ACCGCGUGUACACAUAGACAUUCCAGGCCUGCCGGGAGUGUCAAUAUGGCGGCGCAGGGCGCCCCCUCGAAUUCUCCGUCGGAUGAGUCCACCACCUCGGGGUUGCUGCCAGAACUGCCGUCAACCCCGCUCCUGACCUCCACCGUGAUUAAGGAGUCAAACGGUAACUCCCGGUGCUCGCUGCUUCAGUGUACCUGCCCCGAGGACUCGUUGCCUAUAGCCGUGUUUUAUGGGCCGCUGGACGAGAAAAACCCGCUUCUGGUCUCCUGUGAGAAGGAGAUCCGGGAGUUGUUAGGCUUUAUGAGGAAAAAGAAGGCUUUUGCCACCGAGGAAGAGAAGCACGAAUUCCGCCGGCGUUGUGCCACUUCUUUGUUUAAUAUCUGGACUAAAUACGCCCCCAGGCUGCCAGCUGACUAUUACAAUGAAAAGCUUCUGAAGGUUGGAGAUAGCCUUUGUCAAAUGAAAGAAUACAAACUGGCCCUUUUACAAUGCUAUGGAAGAUAUCUUCAGCAGUUCAGUACCAAUUUUGAUGAGAAUAAAGUGGAUGUAACUCAAUUCAAAGCUGCCUUUUUCCCAAAAGGCUUUAGAGAUAAAACUGCCGGACUUACAUUUCAAGCUUUGAGUGGCAAAAAUAUGUGCAACUACCAGCUGGUCUGUGACAGUGAUGAAAACCUGCGGAAUAAAGAAUCCGUGGUCCAGUGUCUGCAUAUCUUGUCCUUCUUAAGGCUCAUCAUGCAGGUGGCUCUGCCACAGGAGCAUCUAUGCUGGAUUAUCUUCAAUGGUACCAUUUAUAUUUACACCAUUUGCAGAAAACUGAUGGUCAUAGGUCAGUCUUCCAAGGCCUUAGAGUAUCUCCUGUGGGCCAGCAUGUGUAUGGAGUCCUCCGUCCCGCUUCUGUCACUCAGAUACUUGACAUGGCGGGCUACUCUCUACACGGCUGUUUGCCAGUGCUGCUAUGAUUGCCAAGCUGGGAUUCACGGAGAGGCAUUUGCUCGGCAUGCUUUGGGUAAAAUUGAUGAGUUAAGGCAACUGGAAUUAAUGAGUUCCUCAAAAUCCCAGGAAGAAUCGAGAAGAUAUUUUAGAGAGGCCACAAUAAAGAUGGCAGUGAUGAUCUUCAAAAGAGGAGUCUAUGAAUCUAGAAGAAAAAACAAAGCUCUCUUUAGACCCAAGAUAAGAAUUAACCUAAAGGAAGUACAAACUUUUUCAUGGCCACGUACUGUCACAGAGCGGCUACUGGAUGAGAUGUUUGAUAGCACUGCAUCCCGGUUUCUGGCUGUCUUGGAAGCUCUUUCUGAUUCAAAUAGGCGAAUACUGCAAACUGGACCCAUUGUUACAGAUGAUGUGGAGAUUCAUGAUGUUGUUUCAGAAUUGUUUAUGGCAGGAAAACAACUAUUGAUAAUGUCAAAUACUGGUGCAGAUGGAAUGCUUGAUUUUCCAAAAACAUCUCUUCUGGAACUUGUGAUAGAAAGAAAAGAUGUUAUUUCUGUGGAUGCUGCUGUGAAGUUUAUAAAAUUAGCUUUUACUUAUGAGGAGUGGAGUUUAUUUGAAUCUUCUGCUGCACAUCUUAUUUAUUUUCUCCAGAGGCAGGAUGAUCCAGAGUCAAAGAAAGCAGAGAAGGAUUUAACUCUUCUGAUUGCAAUGGAACCACUAAUCAACAUAAAGAGAAACAAAGGUUUGAUCUUUCCUUUGGAAAACUAUAGAGAAGGAGAGGCGGCUCAAAUUUAUUUAAAAAAAAUUGCUGUUCAUGAUACUUAUUUGAAGAUUUGUGGAUAUUCAGAGGAUAUUUUCCAUUUGGCAGCAACCUUGUAUUUCUGUGUCUGCACCGGUCCUCAGGAUGUUCAGCCUGAUAAGGAAAUUGUUGUGGACACAAUAAUGUUCCUAUGGCAGAAAUGCAAAUUAGGAAUUCAGCGGCUUAAUAUAUCCAGAAAUGACUAUGCAAAAUUCACCCAGAAAAUCAGUACUAACAAAUGGUUUUAUCUUCUGUGGCAGUUAAAUGAAGUAAUUCACUGCUCUAAAAUGGAAGACAUUGACAUUGUGGUAGUGGCAGAAGUCACAUUACGGUUAAGUGAAAUAUUGGAAUCUUUAGGAAGUCCAGGAAGAAAAUUUAAAAAAUCUCUAGAUGUACCUUUAAGAAAAGGGACUGAUGAAUUCCCUGGAGCUCCAAAAGGGAUCACAGAAAUUCUUCCAAUAUUAAAGAAAAAUCCUGUGGAACAGUUACAUUUUGCUUAUAAACUUCUUGACAAAGCAAUAGGUGGAAUAAAUUUGAAUUGCAUGCCAACCACUUUGCCAAAUGGAUCUUCAGUAAUUGACCACUGCUAUGCCAAGCAUACCCACCACAUAGAUGGAGAUACUUACAAACCACUUGCCUCAAAUAGUUUCAUGAUGGAUUUGCAUCUUGAACUAAUUCAAGCUCAGCAUCGAAUAGCUGUUGUGCUUCUGGACAAAUUGCAAGUUUUGCAGACCCCAACUGUUAGCAAAGAUAUUUCUACCAAGGGUUUGGAAAAGUUAAAACAAUCUAGAAGCCCUGAUUGUUUUACAGAAUUAAAUAUAAUGAAUAAAAUAAAGAAGAAUACAUUAUCCAAAGCAAUUUACUUAAUGCAGAAGGCUCUUUUAAUAUUCGAGAAGGAUGCAACCUCUACAUCUUCAUGGGAAUUUUUGAUGGAAGCAUAUUCUUUAAUUGAGAGGAUUGAAGCUGAACAAAAUGCCCUGUAUUCCUAUCAGAAAUAUUUGGAAAGUUCAAAAAGAAAGAAAAGCAGAGUCCCUCCUCCACCUAUCCUGCUGUCUCGAACUCAUUGUUCUGUGACACUCAAACCUGCUCCAUUUACUUCAGAGGUUAAGGUCUCUUGGUACUGCAUUUUGGGUUGCAAAGCAGAAGGAAGUUAUGGAAAAGUACGGCUAAACAAUAAUCAUCUCCCAAAUUCAGGAGAUGCGAUACCAGCUGACGGUAAAAGCAUUUUUGAAGUGAAGGGUUUAGAAACCAAUGAAAAAUAUGUAUUUGCAGUUGCUGCCUAUUCUAAUAAUGGAAAGCUUGCUGGGGGUGCUAUUGGGGAGACAACUAAACCAAUUCUGGUUUAUCCACCCCUUUCUACUAUUACUGCUCGGAUGUUCCUCACACAGGUUGCCUAUCAAGUUGGUAACUAUGAGUUGGCCAAGAAAGUUUUCUCACCAGUUUGGGAUUAUUUUGUUGCUUCCCCUCUUCAGGAUGAAAAAUCUGUUAUUUGUUUAAGCAAUAUAAUUACUAUUACACAGAGAAGAUUACAUGCAGAUAUUUUGGCAGAGACUUCUUCAAUCCUCUUAUACCUUUUUCUCAGAAAUAUUUUUGUAAUAAGUGACAUCAAAAUUAAAGAAGAAAAUCUUUUCUGUGAUAAUAUUAAAGGCAAUGAGAUUUUCCCAUCUCAACAAAUUGCCAGACUGAUUGAGUGUGAGAGAGUACUAGUGGCAUUGGAACUUAGCAACUCUCUAAAUGAUUCCAGCUAUGCUCUUCAAGCUGUGACUCAGUGUUAUGGCCUUCUUGCUCCCAUAAUCUAUCACAAUAUUGUUUUGGUACCUGUUGUACAGAUCUUGAUAAAGUGUAUAGUGGUUUUGCAAGGACUACCAAAUAUCGUCUGUUCGAAGAAACAUACUGCGAGUUUUCAAAGUGUACAGCACAUGAUAGCUUGUUGUGUUUUCUACAUAACAAAGAUUCUACGUUCAUGGAGGGAAUAUGACCUGGCAGUAAUGAUUAUAAAUUAUGGGAAAAAAAUGUUGGACAUCACACCAGAAAGCAAGUCUCUGUUGGAUGGUGGUGAUGAACAAGAAGAAAUGCCAGAGGAGGAUUCUUCUAAGAAGUCUUUAAAGAGUAAGAAGCCACAGCAGAUACUGUUGCCUGAAAAGAUAAGUGAACAGCUGGCUUUGUUGGAGACACACCUCCUCAAACUGACAAAGCAAUAUGUUACAUCUGAACUCUCAGGAGGAGAAGACCCUAUAUUUCUUUAUCCUGUAGUUUUGAAUUGGUCUGUCAAAGGUGCCGUGAAAGAAGUUAUGAAAUUUAAGCAAAAACCAAGAUUUCUGGAAUUCUUUACACAAGUUAUGCUAAAAUGCAUGAAUGAGGAAAAAUUUCACCUUAUGGUAGAGAUAACAAUUCCUGUCCAUGACUUCUUGAAAAGGAGAAAUGAGUCUCUACUUGAAAUUAAAAAAGUGAAAUAUAAGGACAGUACUUCAAAUAAAAAAGCAAACAAAUCUUUAAAGUUCAAAGCUGCCGUAAUGGAAAUUGGAAGAAGUGCAGAAAUGCAACAAAGAAUGAGAAGUAAAAAAAAGGAAACUCUAAGAGAUCUCAUUUUAAAAAAUCCAGCUAUUUCUGAAAUGAUGGCACAUGAAAGAAAUAAGGGAGCCAGUGUUAGAAAAGCAGCACAGCGAUACCUGAUGGAUUACUUGAAUCCUCUAAUAUCAAGUUAUAUUAAAAGAAAGAGGUUCCAUCGUUUUUCUCUUGAAGAGAUGCCCUGGAGAGCUCAGAUGAACCUGUAUCUAGCAGGCGCACACUUCAACCUGGUUUUACAAAAGCUGGGGGAGCAUGCAAAGAUGAAAUCUGGCACUUCACAUAUGAUGGUCAGUUUCAGAUCAUGUGAUCCUAACAUAUUCUCACUCUAUAAUUCAGGAACAGUAUUACCAACAAGAAAAUUGACUGUAGAAAAUUAUAAAGCAAUGCUUGAUUUCCUUCUUACAGCCAAAAAAAGAAAGGCCAAUUUACCAUCAGAUGCUGAAGAAUUUUCUACAUUUAUUAAUUCCAAAAUGAGUGAUGAAAAUAUGUCCAAGAUACAAACGGUUUACGACUCAGACUCUCAAUCAGGUUCUAGUGCUAAAGAAAAGGAUCGAGGAGCAAAUUUGUGUGUAAUGGAUCAUUUUAUGAAAAUCUUUUUAUACUGCAGGAGAGCAAUGGUUCUUGCUCAUCGUGGUGGCUAUUGGACUCUGCUUCAGAAUUGCUGUCGGGCCUUUUGGAACUUUACUCAGGAACUACAAAUACUUCUGAAACAGGGAGUGGAUAUUUAUAAAACAUUUCCUAUUAGCCAAGAUGAUUUCCUCUGCACCUCUGUUUUGCCAUUCUAUUUGGGAGCAGAAUUACUUAUUGACAUGCUAAUAAGACUACAAAAUACCAAUUCUAUUAAGCCUGUUGAAGACAAAGGAGAAUUCAGUGAUCCAAGUUGUUACGGGAAUAUUAAAAAUGAUAACGGUGGUUCUAGUCUUAUAUUUGAGCAUCCUUUAGAUGAUGUAAAUGUGGUUGAUUUGAAAUGGAUCCACGACUUUGCUUUAAAAUCCCUGGAAGUUUUAUAUCAAGUGGAAAAAUGGGAAACACUAGUAUCGCUUGCCAUUCAGUUCAAUACAAUUUCACAUGAGAGGUAUACAGAACAAGUGACACCACUCCUGGUGUAUGCACAGCGCCAGCUUCUGCUGAGAAUACACAAGUUCAAGGGCCCAGAUAUUACUCAACAACCUUGUGCAAGGUAUGAGGCUGAAUAUGGAGAGAAGAUAACCUGCCGAAAUUUUGUUGGGAAGCAACUUAAGAUUAAUUCUUCAACCACUGAAGAAACAAGCAACUGCACAGAUUUACUAAAAAUGCUCAUCUAUUCAGAAUACAGCCGAGCCAAAGCACUUGUCUGCGUGCCCGUGGAUGUGACAGACACCUUGAGGUGUUUUAGAGAGACACUGGAAAAAUCCAAAUACCAUAACAGAUCAAUUCGACACAGCAGAAAGUUGCUUUCAUUAUUUCUUGCACAGACACAAGGGGAGAGAGGAGGAAUAAACAAUUCCACAUGUACUUCUGGAAGGGUGGAAUUUUGCCUGGGGACAGAGGAGAUGCAUAUGUCAAUACCCCCUGACCUUUCUCAGGAGCACUUCAGGGUUUUUAGUUCCGUGGAGAAAAGCAAACUUCCAUAUUCACAACUUGGACUCGUAAUUUCUUCUUAUCACCAGACUAUUGAUGUUCUCCAAGCCAGUAAUCAAAGAAGUCUUAAAGUUCAGGCGUUGCAUUCACUUGGAAGUCUUCUCAUCUUUGCAGAAAAGAAAAGGGCUGCUUUUAAGUGUUGGUGUCAAGCUCUUGAUGACAUAUUCAGAAAACCAGACGUGCUGCACACAUGGAAAGAGUUUGGCCCCUCACUCACCAAUGUCACCGACAGCCAUUCACCUCUGGGUUUCAAAGACUACAGUGAGGAGUUUCUGUCAAAAGUUGGCAUCUGGGGGUGUUUGCAAGGAGCAGUCAUAUCAGCCAAGAUAGCACAAUUUAUUCAGUCGUUGAAUGUUGAAAAGAGAACCGACUGUUGCAUUUUGUCCGCAUUACUCUUUCAGGGUUUGCUUAGAACCACACUUCCACAUCCCAAAGCGGAACGUUGCUAUGCUCAAUAUGAAAUCACUCAACUUCUCCCAGGCAUCGAACUCUUCUCAGAUAGAUACAGGGCUGACAUUUGCUCUGUAGUUGCAAGUCUGUAUUACAUUAUACGUGAACUGCACUUUGUUAGGCAAAACCUAAUAGUUCUGCCUCUCCUUGCAUUGUACCAAUAUUUUGUUUCUGGAAUUUGUCAAGACUUAAUCAGAAAUCUAGAAGCAAGAAUCCUCAAGAUAGAAGUCCUUAUAGAUUUGAGAUUCUUUUCUGAAGCCUUUUAUGAGAUAUCCCAGAUUUUCUAUGGAAGAAACAUGCCUUGUUCAAUACCUGCAGGCUAUAAAGCUGCUGGAAAAAUGAAGCUAUUUCAAUCAUUUGACUCAGGGAAACCUCUUACCAGUAAAGAAAAUAUACAGGCAAUUGAUGAAUUAAGAAAUAAAGGCUUGCCUGCCAUUCUGGUUACAAUUGGCCAACCGCAUCUCUUAAAUAAGUUUUAUUUUGUUAAAGCAUACUUUUUCCUAAGUGUGGCUGCAACAAUAAAUUGUGUCCCAGAAAAUAAACUGCAAACAGUAAUUACUGACAGGAGCAAACCAAACCUACCAAACUUGAAAGAGAUAAACUCAAAAGAUGAUGGAGGUUCAUUUUAUCAUCUUACGAACAAUGAGGUCACUCUUAGCAUGCUAAAGUCAACUUUACUAAUGGAAGCUGAGGACAGACUAAACUUCCUUUUGUCGGAGGUGGAACAUCCAGGGCUCAAGACCCUGUCUCAGUGCUCUGUUGGCGAGCUGGAGAUUGUGGUGGAGGCCAGGCUUCAGCUGGCUGCAGUUGCUCUGCAGAGGCACCGGGCCGCAUACAGUGCUGCAAUAGUGUUUUCUACACUUACACUUCUCCAGGAUUCAAAACUUUUUCAAAAGAAAGUAGUACAGGAGGACACAGAGAAUCCCGUCUCUCCAGGAACAUCUGCCACUGAAAAGAAAGAUGACAAUGAGUUUUUAGAUCCUAUUUCCCUAAACGCCCGAGAAUAUUUCAACAUUCAUCUGUGGUUGAGGUGCCGCUUAGCACUGGUGACUGCGUUUGUUGCACAGAUUCAUGGCAUUGGAAUUGUAAAAGAGGAUGAUAUGACAGAUUGCCUGAGCCUCAUCAAUGAAGUGUGUAUGGAGGCAAAAAGUGCAGGUGACACGGAACUGCAGGCUGAAUUAUUGACGCAAGCUGUAAUUCUUGGCCUACAAGAAAAGCAUUUAAAGGCGGACAUCAUAACAAAACUUCAGGAUAUAAUACAUUUGCUGGAAGGAAAUGAAUAUAUUUCUCCUCAAUCGUGGCUAACUCUGGCAAGAAGCCUUGUUUUGCUGGAUGACUUAACCAAAGCUGAGAAAUUCAAGGAAUCUCCCUUUUCAAAAACAGGAAAAUUAAAUUCGUUGACUCAGGCUCACAGUAUUCUAACUGAACAGAUGCUAACUUUUGGAGAAACAAUUGAAUUUCCUUCAUCAAACACUAAAUAUGCAAAUCCAUUAGAGCCUUUGAAAAAUAUCUAUCUUCCCCAUGUCAUGUUAUUGGCCAAAAUAAAAAUGAGAAUUGGACACACAAUGGCCAAGCAAGUAUAUUAUAACAAUAAAAGGAAGGACCCUUCGAAGUGGUUGCCUGCUCUUCAUCUGUUUGAUGUGGCACUGAAGCUCUGCAAAACAACAGCAGCCGAGGAACCGGAGGUGGAAGCUGAAAUCCUUUUUCAGAAAGGCAAAAUAGAACGUCAAAUACUAAUGGAAGAGAAAUCUCCAAGUUUUCAACUUGAGAGUUUAUAUGAAGCUAUACAACUAAGCCUGAAUAAUGAUCAAAACUCAGGAUUGAUAAGAGACUCCUACCUAGAAAUGGCUCUAUUGUAUUUUCAUCUGAAGAAGCCAAAAAGAAAUAUUUCUGGAUCACCAUUAACACUUAAGUCUCCUCUCAGAAGAAGUAGUUCUGUUAAAGAAACAGCAGCAAGUAAAUUUGAAAUGUACAGUUCAUUAGCCUGGAUUGCAAUAAGAGCUGCUGCACAGGUCAGUGAAGCUGUGCUGGCAAUUAACCUACUUAUGGGAAAGAAGAAUAUUAGAACCCAUAAAGUUAACCAACUGGCAUUAUCAAAUAUCCCAGAAUUUGCUGCUCUGGAUCUUUUGUCUUCAUAUACAGAUUACUUGCUUGAUAACUACCAAGUCGUCUUCCAGACUUCCUGUACAUUUUUGUACCAAAAUGAUGAUGUGUAUGACAGCACAGAUGGUAGAAAAAAGACUCAGACCAAAGUAGAUAUUACAUGGAUCCUUCUCCUGCGCUACUAUAUCCACCUUCAGAGGAUUAAUAAUCUCAGCAAACUGCUAGCAUCUGCAACACCAGUUUCUGGAAUUUCUUUGCCAGAUGAUACACUUCUCACAUCCCUUUACAACUCUGAGUUGAUUUUGCGCCAGAAAGAAGUACAUUAUUUCCUUAAAAAAUUCUUACAGCUGUAUUCUUCUUCUUCAAUUGAUGAAUUUCCAAAAGAACUUCUUUGUCUGGAAAAUCCCCCUCUUUCAGAAAAAGACUUACGUGAAUCAUCAGCCAAGUUGUAUCGUGACAGUUCUCUACAAUCCAUUUUAUCCUUUAAGCCUGUUUCGAGCUCAUCUUGUAUGGACAUAAUGCCAAUAGAAAUGGUAACACAAGCUUCAAACAAAGAACUUUGCUUUCAGUGGUACAUUCCUCCUCUGGACAGCCCUCCCAAGGAGACAGAACCUAUGGUUUUAUUGUUGUAUGCAUAUAAUUUGAAGCCUCUGAAGAUUUCAGAUGUUAGACAUUGCACUUUUAACAAUGUAUGUGCUGGCUCUUUAUGGAUUCCACUGAACAGGGUUAUUGCUAUUCAUGAGAAAUUAUCUAAUCUCGUACAAAUAGCUGAAAUAUCAUUGCCAGCAGCUCCUGAAAUUACCUUAAAUGAAAAUGUACAUGAAAUAGGAGACGGGGAAGAGAAAUCAGUUGAUAAUGAAAUGGAAGACAUGAUUAUUCAGUGUUGUUCUGAAAUAGCAUCUCUGUUUUUGAAUGAUAAAGAGUCAACACCACUGUCUGAGGUCCCAUUUGAUAUCUCGCUGCCAUCUAUAUUCAGUCUUGAGAGACUGUUUGAUCUGGCUAAUGGUUGCAUUUUACCAGGAGGAAGCCUUUUCAGCUGGAUAGUGUCAAUUAUUCCCUGAACAUCCUUUACACGGUGUCUCAGCAGCCCUCUUCCUUGUGACAUUUCAUCUUUACUCUGGUUUUCCUAUUGGUAGCAGCAGUGGCCAUAGGAAUUCCAAGACACAUCCUCACACGAUAUCAGGGGGAUGGUAAAACUGAGAAAUAAAUCAAGAGUGUGACAACAGACUGAAGAAUUUUUCAGCAAUAUCUGUCGGCCUUUGGAAAUUUGGUGAGAAGUAGUCAUGAUUCAAUGUCUUGCUUGCACAGAAGCCUCCAGUUCAAACUUAGAUCUUGCCCCAUCUGAUUACUUAUGAUAUAUACAAAUACUCUAAAUAUUGCUUUGAGAUUUUGCUGUUGCUCAACCGGCCUCCUGCAGCCUCAAAGGUGUUUUAGCUUCCGGUACAACAGUUUAACUAACUACUCUCUUCUCUGUGACUUCCAAGACUAUGUAACUCCUCAGCUUGCUCUCAAUUUGUUCAGCUGACCUAUUUCUUUAUCAGGUUGUUUUAGCUUCCCUACUCUCUCCUGUGUUUUGAAAAGAAUAAAUUCUCAAGUAAAUUAAAACUACAUUCUGAUAAAAAUGA